rnacentral:rRNA from 1 species
UACGUAGGUGGCAAGCGUUGUCCGGAAUUACUGGGUGUAAAGGGAGCGUAGGCGGGUACGCAAGUUGAAUGUUUAACCUAUCGGCUCAACCGAUAGUCGCGUUCAAAACUGCGGAUCUUGAGUGAAGUAGAGGCAGGCGGAAUUCCUAGUGUAGCGGUGAAAUGCGUAGAUAUUAGGAGGAACACCAGUGGCGAAGGCGGCCUGCUGGGCUUUUACUGACGCUGAGGCUCGAAAGCAUGGGGAGCAAACAGGAUUAGAUACCCUGGUAGUCCAUGCCGUAAACGAUGAUUACUAGGUGUGGGGGGUCUGACCCCUUCCGUGCCGCAGUUAACACAAUAAGUAAUCCACCUGGGGAGUACGGCCGCAAGGUUGAA